AUACGUAGGUGGCAAGCGUUGUCCGGUAUUUAUUGGGCGUAAAGCGAGCGCAGGUCGGUUUUUAAGUCUGAUGUGAAAGCCUUCGGCUUAACCGGAGAAGUGCAUCGGAAACUGGGAGACUUGAGUGCAGAAGAGGACAGUGGAACUCCAUGUGUAGCGGUGGAAUGCGUAGAUAUAUGGAAGAACACCAGUGGCGAAGGCGGCUGUCUAGUCUGUAACUGACGCUGAGGCUACGAAAGCAGUGGGUAGC
rnacentral:rRNA from 1 species